UACGAGGGGGGCUAGCGUUGCUCGGAAUCACUGGGCGUAAAGGGUGCGUAGGCGGGUCUUUUAAGUCAGGGGUGAAAUCCUGGAGCUCAACUCCAGAACUGCCUUUGAUACUGAGGAUCUUGAGUUCGGGAGAGGUGAGUGGAACUGCGAGUGUAGAGGUGAAAUUCGUAGAUAUUCGCAAGAACACCAGUGGCGAAGGCGGCUCACUGGCCCGAUACUGACGGCUGAGGCACGAAAGCGUGGGG
rnacentral:rRNA from 1 species